CUGGCCUUGACAUGCAGAGAACUUUCCAGAGAUGGAUGGGUGCCUUCGGGAACUCUGACGCAGGUGCUGCAUGGCCGUCGUCAGCUCGUGUCGUAAGAUGUUGGGUUAAGUCCCGUAACGAGCGCAACCCCUAUCCCUAGUUGCUAGCAGUUCGGCUGAGAACUCUAGGGAGACUGCCGGUGACAAACCGGAGGAAGGUGGGGAUGACGUCAGGUCAUCAUGGCCCUUACGGCCAGGGCUACACACGUGCUACAAUGGUGCGCACAGAGGGCUGCAAACCCGCGAGGGGAGCCAAUCUCACAAAACGCAUCGUAGUCCGGAUCGCAGUCUGCAACUCGACUGCGUGAAGUCGGAAUCGCUAGUAAUCGUGAAUCAGAAUGUCACGGUGAAUACGUUCCC
rnacentral:rRNA from 1 species